rnacentral:rRNA from 1 species
AGCUCCAGUAGCGUAUAUUAAAGUUGUUGCAGUUAAAAAGCUCGUAGUUGGAUUUCUGGCCUGACGAAACUGACCCGCCGCGGUUACGUGUGUGAGUGUCGGGCUUCGUCUGCCAUCCUUCCAGAAAACGUUUCUACCCUUCACUGGGCUGGAUUCGGUAUCUGGAACUUUUACUUUGAAGAAAUUAGAGUGUUCAAAGCAGGCUUGCGCUGUGAAUACAUUAGCAUGGAAUAAUAAUUUAGGACUUUGGGUCUUAUUUUGUUGGUUCUUAAGACGAAAGUAAUGAUUGAUAGGGAUAGUUGGGGGUGCUAGUAUUCAGCGGCCAGAGGUGAAAUUCUUGGAUUCGCUGAAGACUAACUUAUGCGAAAGCAUUCACCAAGGAUGUCUUCUUUAAUCAAGA